rnacentral:lncRNA from 1 species
CGCGAAUAAGAAACUACAAGACACAUUCACAACACUAUGACUACAGGUAAAUCGACAAACAAAACACUCCUCCCUACUAGUAACGGUAAAGUUGUCUCCACGGUGAUAGUGUAAAUUGUUAUUAUGCUGUCAGUGUAUAUAAGUUAAAUCCAAUCAAAAUGCAGAAUUAACUAAUAAGGGUGGAUAGCUAACACAAGAAUGGUGUGCUAAUUAGUUAUACAGCGACAACAACAUAUCCGGCACAUUUCCACACAGUGGGGUCCGGGGAGGGUAAAGCGUACGCGGUCCAUACCAUUACCUUAGAUGAAGUAGAGAGGCUGUUUUCGAUAGACCCUUGACACAUGGCAAAUAACAGUAUACCAAGCAGAGAACAUAAGAACAAACAACAAAAUCUGGCGACACACCACUGGAUAAUAGAAGAAACAAGACACCGACAGAGUAAUACUAUGAAUAUCCAAAAUCACAAACAUCCCAAAAGCACCACGAAUAAGAAACUACAAGACACAUUCACAACACUAUGACUACAGGUAAAUUGACAAACAAAGCUCUCCUCCCUACUAGUAACGGUAAAGUUGUCACCGUGUGACCUAUAGGUCAUGAGUUCAAAACGUGGAAGUAACCACUAAUGAUUGCAUUAGGGUCGAUUGUCUACAUCACAUUCCUUCCUUGGGGUGCGACUCUUCCCUGGACCCUGCUAAUGUGGGAGCUUGUGCACCGGGCUGCCCUUUAUACACACUGUAGUAUUACCCACCCAAGCCUUCAGUCAAUCAACAGUAUAGCUCUUUUUAAUUUGGUAGUCAAAUGUUUAACUAUAAUACAA